AUUUCAUGAUUCAGCCUAUAACAUU
rnacentral:piRNA from 1 species